AGAGGUUACAACACACGCAUUCUUGGCGCCAUUGUUCAGACUGACUCAGAACAGCUGAACAUCUUAAAGUCAGUGUGUGGAAGCCACAAAGCACCCAGCAGCCGGACCUAGAGAAACAGCCACUUGCCAGCCACCCAGCCGCCUUGACUGCCAUUCACAGGGUGAGCCGGGCUUCUGUGGGAACAGAGAUUUCCAGCAUGGUCGCUGGUACAAAUUUUCAUACUUUUUAAAAAUUUGGUCAAUGGCUAUAUUUCUUAA
rnacentral:lncRNA from 1 species